GUACACAGCUAUGCCACCCUGAACAAGCCCGAUCUCGUCUGAUCUCGGAAGCUAAGCAGGAUCAGGCCUGGUUAGCACUUGGAUAGGAAACCACCUAGGAAGACCAGGUGCUGUAGGCG
rnacentral:rRNA from 1 species